UGACUGAGCGGCGGACGGGUGAGUAACGCGUGGGCAACCUACCUUACACAGGGGGAUAACAGUUAGAAAUGACUGCUAAUACCGCAUAAGACCACAAAACCGCAUGGUUUGGUGGUAAAAACUCCGGUGGUGUAAGAUGGGCCCGCGUCUGAUUAGGUAGUUGGUGGGGUAACGGCCUACCAAGCCGACGAUCAGUAGCCGACCUGAGAGGGUGACCGGCCACAUUGGGACUGAGACACGGCCCAGACUCCUACGGAAGGCAGCAG
rnacentral:rRNA from 1 species